GCCAGCAGCCGCGGUAAUACGUAGGGUGCAAGCGUUAAGCGGAAUUACUGGGCGUAAAGCGUGCGCAGGCGGUUGAUUAAGUUUGAUGUGAAAUCCCCGGGCUUAACCUGGGAACUGCAUUGAAUACUGGUCAGCUAGAGUGUGUCAGAGGGGGGUAGAAUUCCACGUGUAGCAGUGAAAUGCGUAGAGAUGUGGAGGAAUACCGAUGGCGAAGGCAGCCCCCUGGGAUAACACUGACGCUCAUGCACGAAAGCGUGGGGAGCAAACAGGAUUAGAUACCCUGGUAGUCCACGCCCUAAACGAUGUCAACUAGUUGUCGGGUCUUAAUUGACUUGGUAACGCAGCUAACGCGUGAAGUUGACCGCCUGGGGAGUACGGUCGCAAGAUUAAAACUCAAAGGAAUUGACGGGGACCGCACAAGCGGUGGAUGAUGUGGAUUAAUUCGAUGCAACGCGAAAAACCUUACCUACCCUUGACAUGGCAGGAAUCCUGAAGAGAUU
rnacentral:rRNA from 1 species